rnacentral:lncRNA from 1 species
AUGAAGCUCUUGUUAAUUAUGAAAACAUUACUGAUGGCGCAAAAACUUAUGAACCAGAGACCAUCGCAUCAGAAAGAAACUCAAGCUAGCAGAACAAGAUUUUGAUAAAUUCAUUCAAGACUCUGAUAAAGUUUGGGUGAAGGCUACAACAAUCAGUAGCCUCCUUACACAAAGACGGCAACCAAAAUCACCACACAUGCUUGCUUUUUAUUAAGCGCCCACGAGGUCACACACUGACACACACGAACUAAACUCAAUUCAUCCCUAAUAAUAAAAGUGCAGCUAAACUCCCCUAAGAUUCAGACCCG